rnacentral:rRNA from 1 species
GUCUACAGUGAGACUACCCUGAACAUGCCUGAUCUCAUCUGUUUUCCCAAGAUAAGUAGAGUUGGGUCCUGGUUAGUACUUGGCUUGGAGAAUACAGAAAAAAAGAGAAACUACACA